UUAGCUGUUAGAUGACUGAAAAUAUGUAAAAUAUUUAUUCAUACAUUUUAUGCCUACAUUAAAAGCAGGUGACCAACCACUAAUAUAUAUUAACUGUGAGAUUAACAAAGGCAUUGGUGUGUAUCUUGUUAAAUUUUCCCAAAUGUUUAGGCAUUUUCACAUUAUUAUUAUAUUUGCAUUUUAAAAGCAAAAUUUUAAUGUAUGUUAAUGUUAAUCUGUUUCAUUCUAUACUUAAAGCAUAACUUAAAAAAAUAUUUAAGGAUGGAUCUUUUUUUAACUUUGCUUCUUAGCUUAAGACAUUUUAAAAAAUAUUCAAACUAACAAUGUGUUGAGCUUGCAUCCAUAGACAUGAAGUCCAUGUUAGAAAAUACAUGUUUGUUUUUUCUGUGAAGUUUUUGGUGGCUUAGUCUCUGAAUAUUUUCCACUGUAUUAAACAAAUAGUUUGCCUAAAUGAGGGCAAAAAAUACAGAAUUAUUUCGUGACAUACUGAGUUUU
rnacentral:lncRNA from 1 species